rfam:Bacillus sp. LL01 scaffold4.1, whole genome shotgun sequence.
UCGUAACACUAGGGGAGUCAAUAGUGACUGAGAUGGAAAGAAUAAUUUCCAGACCCUUUGAACCUGAUCUAGUUCAUACUAGCGUAGGGAAGUGGAAUUGCUCUAUC